rnacentral:rRNA from 1 species
UAGGGAAUCUUCCACAAUGGACGCAAGUCUGAUGGAGCAACGCCGCGUGAGUGAAGAAGGUCUUCGGAUCGUAAAGCUCUGUUGUUGGUGAAGAAGGAUAGAGGCAGUAACUGGUCUUUAUUUGACGGUAAUCAACCAGAAAGUCACGGCUAACUACGUGCCAGCAGCCGCGGUAAUACGUAGGUGGCAAGCGUUGUCCGGAUUUAUUGGGCGUAAAGCGAGCGCAGGCGGAAUGAUAAGUCUGAUGUGAAAGCCCACGGCUCAACCGUGGAACUGCAUCGGAAACUGUCAUUCUUGAGUGCAGAAGAGGAGAGUGGAACUCCAUGUGUAGCGGUGGAAUGCGUAGAUAUAUGGAAGAACACCAGUGGCGAAGGCGGCUCUCUGGUCUGCAACUGACGCUGAGGCUCGAAAGCAUGGGUAGCGAACAGGAUUAGAUACCCUGGUAGUCCAUGCCGUAAACGAUGAGCGCUAGGUGUUGGGGACUUUCCGGUCCUCAGUGCCGCAGCAAACGCAUUAAGCGCUCCGCCUGGGGAGUACGACCGC